rnacentral:lncRNA from 1 species
UCAUGUUUAUACACUGAACGAGACAUGAAUAAAUUUCGGUGGCAUGUUCCGUAAUUAAAUGAAGAAUCCAAGGGUAAAUCCAAAGGAUACCACCUAUAAAUCAAAAGGCAAACAAGGCAACUAAAAACACAAAAGACAGAGAGAUCUCAAAAACAAAGGAAAAAAAAAGACAGGGAGAGAUGGGUUUGGUUACAGAUGAAGUGAGAGCUAGGGCAGAGAAAUACACAGGAGACGAGUUAUGCCGCGAGAAGACCAAGGAGUUCCUCAAGGAAGUUGACAUGCCUAAUGGGUUAUUGCCAUUGAAGGACAUAGAAGAG